AUAGGCCGUCGCCCCCGCGAAGGCGGGGGCCGCUAUCGGCGUAGCGUAAGGUUGCCAGCGGCCCCCGCCUUCGCGGGGGCGACGGUUUUA
rnacentral:sRNA from 1 species